rnacentral:rRNA from 1 species
AUGAGGACGGCGGGCCGGAUGCCGGCGACGAGGACGCUCUCCUGCGUCCUUUUCCUACUUAUCGCCGCCGCCUCUCGGGCGUCCGCGGCGGCGGCGAUCACCAAGGGCGACUUCCCCCCGGGGUUCGUCUUCGGCACCGGCUCCUCCGCUUAUCAGAUUGAAGGCGCGGUUGCAGAGGACGGAAGAAAACCCAGCAUCUGGGAUACAUUCACACACUCAGGCUACUCUGCCGAUGGAGCCACUGCUGAUGUGACUGCAGAUCAGUAUCAUAAGUACAAGGAAGAUGUAAAGCUUUUGAGCGAGAUGGGCGUCGAUGCGUACAGAUUUUCCAUUGCCUGGCCUAGGCUUAUUCCUGAUGGCCGAGGAGCUGUCAAUCCAAAAGGACUGGAGUACUACAACAACCUUAUCAAUGAACUCCUUAGUCAUGGAAUUCAGCCUCACGUAACGAUAUAUCAUUUUGACUUCCCUCAGGCUCUUCAAGAUGAAUACCAUGGGAUGCUUAGUCGUAAAUUCAUAGAUGACUACACGACGUAUGCAGAUGUGUGCUUCAAGAACUUUGGCGACAGGGUGAAAUACUGGAGCACUGUGAAUGAGCCAAACAUUGAGCCCAUUGGCGGAUACGAUGUAGGAUUCUUUCCACCACAGCGAUGCUCCUCCCCCUUCGGCAUCAGUUGCAACAAUGGCAACUCUACCACUGAGCCCUACAUAGUAGCUCACCAUCUUCUGCUUGCACAUGCCUCAGCAGCGUCCCUGUAUAAAGAGAAGUAUCAGGCCAAGCAAGGAGGAAAACUUGGACUCACAUUGCUCUGCUGGUGGUUCGAGCCUGCAACACAAACACCUGAGGAUAUAGCAGCAGCUGCAAGGAUGAAUGACUUCCACAUUGGAUGGUAUAUGCAUCCAUUGGUGCAUAGAGACUACCCACCAGUGAUGAGGAAGAAUGUUGGGUCCAGGCUACCAUCUUUCACCGCUGAAGAGCUAAAGAGAGUGCGUGGGUCUUUUGAUUUUGUCGGAUUUAACCAUUACGGUGCCGCUUAUGUGAAGGCUGAUCUUAGCAAGCUGGAUCAGAAGCUGAGAGAUUACAUGGGUGAUGCAGCCGUGAAAUAUGACACCGUGCCAUUUUUGAACUCAAAGAACCAGCUCUUGUUUGGGUUGAAAAUGGGUUUCAUGUCAUCAACAGCGUGGUCUAUGAGGAAAAUGCUGGAGCAUCUGCAGGUCAAAUACAAGAACCCUGUGGUCAUGAUCCACGAGAAUGGAGCUGCCAGCAUUGCUGAUCCCUCUGGUGGGAACGCCCCCGACGACGAGUUCAGGUCGCAGUACCUGCAGGAUUACAUCGAGGCGACCCUCCAAUCCAGCAGGAACGGCUCGAAUGUGCAGGGCUAUUUCGUAUGGUCAUUCCUGGACGUGUUCGAGUACCUCUUCGGCUACCGCAUGGGCUAUGGCCUCUACGGUGUGGACUUCAGCUCCAAGGAGAGGACGAGGUACCAGAAGCACUCCGCCAAGUGGUUCGCCGGUUUCCUCCAUGGUGGUGAGCUCAGGCCGGUGGCUCUGCCCGGCAAGGCCUAUUCCCAAUGA